rnacentral:rRNA from 1 species
AUACCAAGGCGCUUGAGAGAACCACAUCAAAGGAACUCGGCAAAAUGCCUCCGUAAGUUCGCGAGAAGGAGGCCCCGUCUUUGGGCAACCAGAGGCGGGGGGCACAAACCAGGGGGUGGCGACUGUUUACUUAAAACACAGGGCUCUGCGAAGCCGCAAGGCGACGUAUAGGGUCUGACGCCUGCCCGGUGCUGGAAGGUUAAAAGGAGAGGUGCAAGCCUUGAAUUGAAGCCCCAGUAAACGGCGGCCGUAACUAUAACGGUCCUAAGGUAGCGAAAUUCCUUGUCGGGUAAGUUCCGACCUGCACGAAUGGCGUAACGAUCUCCCCGCUGUCUCUGAUGUGGACUCAGCGAAAUUGAACUGUGUGUCAAGAUGCACACUUCCCGCGGUUAGACGGAAAGACCCCAUGAACCUUUACUAUAGCUUCGCACUGGCAUCAGGAAUGUGAUGUGCAGGAUAGGUGGUAGGCAUCGAAACGGGGACGCCAGUUCCCGUGGAGCCAACCUUGAGAUACCACCCUUCGCAUUCUUGAUGUCUAACCGCGGUCCAUUACCUGGAUCCGGGACCCUGCGUGGUGGGUAGUUUGACUGGGGCGGUCGCCUCCCAAACAGUAACGGAGGCGCGCGAUGGUGGGCUCAGACCGGUCGGAAAUCGGUCGUCGAGUGCAAUGGCAGAAGCCCGCCUGACUGCAAGACUGACAAGUCGAGCAGAGACGAAAGUCGGCCAUAGUGAUCCGGUGGUCCCGAGUGGAAGGGCCAUCGCUCAACGGAUAAAAGGUACUCUGGGGAUAACAGGCUGAUGAUGCCCAAGAGUCCAUAUCGACGGCAUCGUUUGGCACCUCGAUGUCGGCUCAUCUCAUCCUGGGGCUGGAGCAGGUCCCAAGGGUAUGGCUGUUCGCCAUUUAAAGAGGUACGUGAGCUGGGUUUAGAACGUCGUGAGACAGUUCGGUCCCUAUCUGCCGUGGGUGUAGGAGACUUGAGAAGAGUUGCCCCUAGUACGAGAGGACCGGGGUGAACGAACCACUGGUGGACCAGUUGUCGUGCCAACGGCAGUGCUGGGUAGCUAUGUUCGGACAGGAUAACCGCUGAAGGCAUCUAAGCGGGAAGCCCCCUUCAAAACAAGGUCUCCCUUGAGGGCCGUGGAAGACCACCACGUCGAUAGGCCAGAGGUGUAAG